rfam:Domibacillus enclensis strain NIO-1016 genome assembly, contig: Ga0061089_103
AUACAGCUGCGUUGUACGUGUUUUUUUAAUUAAGUUUUAACCUUUAAGCUGUAACAGGGAGUUUAACAUUAAGACGGGAUUGACAGGCCUCUGCCCAUGCGGCAAGGAGGACAGACAUGAACGUUUUUGCGAACACCCACUUUGAGGAGUGGUGGUUUAAAACUUUCUUAUUUUUUGACAAUACGGCAAAGGCGGCAUGAAA